GACGAACGCUGGCGGCGUGCCUAAUACAUGCAAGUCGAACGAGAGCGACCGGUGCUUGCACUGGUCAAUCUAGUGGCGAACGGGUGAGUAACACGUGGGUAACCUGCCCAUCAGAGGGGGAUAACAUCCGGAAACGGAUGCUAAAACCGCAUAGGUCUUCGAACCGCAUGGUUUGAAGAGGAAAAGAGGCGCAAGCUUCUGCUGAUGGAUGGACCCGCGGUGCAUUAGCUAGUUGGUGAGGUAACGGCUCACCAAGGCCGUGAUGCAUAGCCGACCUGAGAGGGUGAUCGGCCACAUUGGGACUGAGACACGGCCCAAACUCCUACGGGAGGCAGCAGUAGGGAAUCUUCCGCAAUGGACGCAAGUCUGACGGAGCAACGCCGCGUGAGUGAAGAAGGUUUUCGGAUCGUAAAACUCUGUUGUUAGAGAAGAACAAGUGCUAGAGUAACUGUUAGCG
rnacentral:rRNA from 1 species